CAGUAGCCACGGUAAUACGUAGGGUGCAAGCGUUAAUCGGAAUUACUGGGCGUAAAGCGUGCGCAGGCGGUUAUAUAAGUCAGAUGUGAAAUCCCCGGGCUCAACCUGGGAACUGCAUUUGAGACUGUAUGGCUAGAGUGUGUCAGAGGGGGGUAGAAUUCCACGUGUAGCAGUGAAAUGCGUAGAUAUGUGGAGGAAUACCGAUGGCGAAGGCAGCCCCCUGGGAUAACACUGACGCUCAUGCACGAAAGCGUGGGGAGCAAACAGGAUUAGAUACCCCAGUAGUCCCUGUCUCUUAUAC
rnacentral:rRNA from 1 species